UUAACAUUCUCUAGCACCAAUUAGAAACCAGCCAUGCACAAUUUGAGUAAAAAUAACCAAAAAAAUCUAGACAGAAAAUGGGACCUAACACAGAAAACGUCAUAAUUUUUGGAUGUGUUUUCAAUUUAAUAUAGAUUUUAGAAUUGGAUGAAAAAAUAAAAAAAAUGAUGAAAGCAUAACAUAUGAAUAUAUGAAAAAAAUAAUAAUAAAUGAAGCCAAAUGGAAGAAUGCUGGAGCCAAG
rnacentral:lncRNA from 1 species